UGAUCAGCGGCGGACGGGUGAGUAACACGUGAGCAACCUGCCUUUCAGAGGGGGACAACAGUUGGAAACGACUGCUAAUACCGCAUAACAUUGCCGAACGGCAUCGUUUGGCAAUCAAAGGAGCAAUCCGCUGAAAGAUGGGCUCGCGUCUGAUUAGAUAGUUGGUGAGGUAACGGCUCACCAAGUCGACGAUCAGUAGCCGGACUGAGAGGUUGAACGGCCACAUUGGGACUGAGAUACGGCCCAGACUCCUACGGGAGGCAGCAGUCGGGAAUAUUGCGCAAUGGAGGAAACUCUGACGCAGUGACGCCGCGUGCAGGAAGAAGGUUUUCGGAUUGUAAACUGCUUUAGACAGGGAAGAAAAAAGACAGUACCUGUAGAAUAAGCUCCGGCUAACUACGUGCCAGCAGCCGCGGUAAUACGUAGGGAGCGAGCGUUAUCCGGAUUUAUUGGGUGUAAAGGGUGCGUAGACGGGAAGUCAAGUUAGUUGUGAAAUCCCUCGGCUUAACUGAGGAACUGCAACUAAAACUGAUUUUCUUGAGUACUGGAGAGGAAAGUGGAAUUCCUAGUGUAGCGGUGAAAUGCGUAGAUAUUAGGAGGAACACCGGUGGCGAAGGCGACUUUCUGGACAGAAACUGACGUUGAGGCACGAAAGUGUGGGGAGCAAACAGGAUUAGAUACCCUGGUAGUCCACACCGUAAACGAUGGAUACUAGGUGUAGGGGAUAAUAAAUUCUCUGUGCCGUCGCAAACGCAAUAAGUAUCCCACCUGGGGAGUACGGCCGCAAGGUUGAAACUCAAAGGAAUUGACGGGGGCCCGCACAAGCAGUGGA
rnacentral:rRNA from 1 species